CCUGACGCAGCGACGCCGCGUGAGUNAUGAAGGCUUUCGGGUCGUAAAGCUUUGUCAAGUGGGAAGAWACCACGAGGUGAUAAUAUCGCUUUGUGCUGACGGUACCACUGAGGGAAGCACCGGCUAACUCCGUGCCAGCAGCCGCGGUAAUACGGGGGGUGCAAGCGUUAUUCGGAAUCAUUGGGCGUAAAGGGCGCGUAGGCGGUUUGUUAAGUCAGAUGUGAAAGCCCGGGGCUCAACCCCGGAAGUGCAUUUGAUACUGGCGGACUUGAGUAUGGGAGAKGGAAGUGGAAUUCCUGGUGUAGAGGUGAAAUUCGUAGAUAUCAGGAGGAACACCGGUGGCGAAGGCGACUUCCUGGACCAAUACUGACGCUGAGGCGCGAAGGCGUGGGUAGCAAACAGGAUUAGAUACCCUGGUAGUCCACGCAGUAAACGGUGAUCACUAGGUGUAGCGGGUAUUGACCCCUGCUGUGCCGCAGUUAACGCAUUAAGUGAUCCGCCUGGGGAGUACGGCCGCAAGGUUAAAACUCAAAGGAAUUGACGG
rnacentral:rRNA from 1 species